UGUUCUGUGGCUUAGUUGUUUAAAGCACCGGUGUAACGAAUACGGAGUCGUGGGUUCGGAUCCCACCAGAAUAC
rnacentral:tRNA from 1 species